rnacentral:lncRNA from 1 species
GUCACUUCAUCUUAAGAGCCUCAGUUGCCUAUUUAAGUGAUUGAACCUGGUUGCUAGGGCUGGAGUGGAGAUGGAAUGAGAUCAUGCAGGGCCUCUGGCAUACAGCAGGCGUCCAAUAAGUGAUAGUUCCUGUUACUUCAUUCAAUUCACGAAGCCGUAGGGGGGGCCAGAAUUUGAGACUGGGCUGUUUUUCACAACUGACGUGGCCCCCCGAGGCUGUAGGAAUGACCGAGCUGGGACUUAGCAGCCGCCAGCUUCUGUCCCCUGCAGGGAGGGAAACAGC